rnacentral:rRNA from 1 species
UACGAAGGGGGGCUAGCGUUGCUCGGAAUCACUGGGCGUAAAGGGUGCGUAGGCGGGUCUUUUAAGUCAGGGGUGAAAUCCUGGAGCUCAACCCCAGAACUGCCUUUGAUACUGAGGAUCUUGAGUUCGGGAGAGGUGAGUGGAACUGCGAGUGUAGAGGUGAAAUUCGUAGAUAUUCGCAAGAACACCAGUGGCGAAGGCGGCUCACUGGCCCGAUACUGACGCUGAGGCACGAAAGCGUGGGGAGCAAACAGGG